GUCCUCUUGUUUUCCAUCAUGUUUGCUUAUAACUCUGCUACCCGCCAUAGUAACUAGUGUAAGUUCCAUUGUUAAAUUUAUUGCACCGUUUAUCAUUUGUAAGAAGCCAAAAAAAUCACGUUACCCUUUCAGAGAAAAUUGCUAUGUUUCUUGCUUUUUCAAAAGUGGAUGUCACUGAAACAUUGAUAGCAUGCCUCCUUCCGUGGAAUGUGGUUUUACAUGCUGGCCUGCAAUAUUUUGAAGGAUGCAGUUGACUAUCAUUCAUGUAUUCUAUUUGUAAAAUAAUGGUUGAAUAUAUAGUAUAGUACCUUUAGCUUCAUGUGUAUUCAAAUUUACCAGUGUUCAUCCAGGAAAUUAUCAUUGAGUGUCGUUUGAU
rnacentral:lncRNA from 1 species